rnacentral:lncRNA from 1 species
CCUAUUCUGCUCUUGCUUGACGGGGUAAACAGUAUUGUCUAGCAUUAUCUCAGUUAUUUAAUCAGUUUUAUGGCCCUUCUUUUAGGGUAAUUAUUUUUCUAUGCUCCCAUUGAAGAAUUAUAUUAAAUUAAAAAGAUUUUUUGUCUAUUUUUGUUAGAUUCAUGCAUCUUCGUUGAAAUAGUGUACUUAAUAGCUAUCUAUUUUCAUAUCAUUUUUUAAGUAUUUUAUAUUUAUUAAAAAAAUUAUUAUUAAAAAAAGGCCUCAUUUAUUGGAUUCGCCUUAGGCCCCCAAAUGUAUUGGGCCGCCCCUG